AAAUUGUAAUGAGGGCAUCUGAGAAAUAGUUCAUUAAAGUGCUCCCAUGCCUCGAAGAAAAGGUUUUCGUCUUUUUGUUGGAAAGUCAAAAUUUCCCUUCCAAAAUU